AUUUGUCGUGUGCUUUAAUUGAAAUAUUGUCCGAUUAAAGCUUGCAGCAGUUAAAUCA
rnacentral:ncRNA from 1 species